rnacentral:rRNA from 1 species
UGGGGAAUAUUGCGCAAUGGGGGAAACCCUGACGCAGCGACGCCGCGUGCGGGAUGAAGGCCUUCGGGUUGUAAACCGCUUUUGAUUGGGAGCAAGCCUUUUGGGUGAGUGUACCUUUCGAAUAAGCGCCGGCUAACUACGUGCCAGCAGCCGCGGUAAUACGUAGGGCGCAAGCGUUAUCCGGAAUCAUUGGGCGUAAAGGGUACGUAGGCGGAUAAGCAAGUUAGAAGUGAAAUCCUAUAGCUCAACUAUAGUAAGCUUUUAAAACUGCUCAUCUUGAGGUAUGGAAGGGAAAGUGGAAUUCCUAGUGUAGCGGUGAAAUGCGCAGAUAUUAGGAGGAAUACCGGUGGCGAAGGCGACUUUCUGGCCAUAUACUGACGCUGAGGUACGAAAGCGUGGGUAGCAAACAGG